rnacentral:rRNA from 1 species
UACGUAGGUGGCAAGCGUUGUUCGGAAUUAUUGGGCGUAAAGGGCGCGUAGGCGGCAUGCCAAGCGUGUGGUGAAAGCCCGGGGCUCAACCCCGGGUCGGCCGUGCGGACUGGCGUGCUCGAGCACUGUAGGGGCGGGUGGAAUUCCGGGUGUAGCGGUGGAAUGCGUAGAGAUCCGGAAGAACACCGGUGGCGAAGGCGGCCCGCUGGGCAGGAAGGCUCGCAAGAGCCGGCUGACGCUGAGGCGCGACAGCGUGGGGAGCAAACAGG